GUCGAGCGGAUCUUCAUUAGCUUGCUUUUGAAGAUCAGCGGCGGACGGGUGAGUAACACGUGGGCACCUGCCUGUAAGACUGGGAUAACUUCGGGAAACCGGAGCUAAUACCGGAUAAUCCUUUCCCUCACAUGAGGGAAAGCUGAAAGACGGUUUCGGCUGUCACUUACAGAUGGGCCCGCGGCGCAUUAGCUAGUUGGUGAGGUAAUGGCUCACCAAGGCGACGAUGCGUAGCCGACCUGAGAGGGUGAUCGGCCACACUGGGACUGAGACACGGCCCAGACUCCUACGGGAGGCAGCAGUAGGGAAUCUUCCGCAAUGGACGAAAGUCUGACGGAGCAACGCCGCGUGAGCGAUGAAGGCCUUCGGGUCGUAAAGCUCUGUUGUCAGGGAAGAACAAGUACCGGAGUAACUGCCGGUACCUUGACGGUACCUGACCAGAAAGCCACGGCUAACUACGUGCCAGCAGCCGCGGUAAUACGUAGGUGGCAAGCGUUGUCCGGAAUUAUUGGGCGUAAAGCGCGCGCAGGCGGUUCCUUAAGUCUGAUGUGAAAGCCCCCGGCUCAACCGGGGAGGGUCAUUGGAAACUGGGGAACUUGAGUGCAGAAGAGGAGAGCGGAAUUCCACGUGUAGCGGUGAAAUGCGUAGAGAUGUGGAGGAACACCAGUGGCGAAGGCGGCUCUCUGGUCUGUAACUGACGCUGAGGCGCGAAAGCGUGGGGAGCGAACAGGAUUAGAUACCCUGGUAGUCCACGCCGUAAACGAUGAGUGCUAAGUGUUAGAGGGUUUCCGCCCUUUAGUGCUGCAGCAAACGCAUUAAGCACUCCGCCUGGGGAGUACGG
rnacentral:rRNA from 2 species